GAUGAACGCUGGCGGCGUGCCUAAUACAUGCAAGUCGAGCGAACAGACGAGGAGCUUGCUCCUCUGACGUUAGCGGCGGACGGGUGAGUAACACGUGGAUAACCUACCUAUAAGACUGGGAUAACUUCGGGAAACCGGAUCUAAUACCGGAUAAUAUAUUGAACCGCAUGGUUCAAUAGUGAAAGACGGUUUUGCUGUCACUUAUAGAUGGAUCCGCGCCGCAUUAGCUAGUUGGUAAGGUAACGGCUUACCAAGGCAACGAUGCGUAGCCGACCUGAGAGGGUGAUCGGCCACACUGGAACUGAGACACGGUCCAGACUCCUACGGGAGGCAGCAGUAGGGAAUCUUCCGCAAAGGGCGAAAGCCUGACGGAGCAACGCCGCGUGAGUGAUGAAGGUCUUCGGAUCGUAAAACUCUGUUAUUAGGGAAGAACAAAUGUGUAAGUAACUAUGCACGUCUUGACGGUACCUAAUCAGAAAGCCACGGCUAACUACGUG
rnacentral:rRNA from 1 species